rnacentral:lncRNA from 1 species
UUACUAAGUCCAGCAAUAGAAUUUGUUUUACUCUAGGUAGUCUAUCAAACUAACACUAUUCGCAUAAUAUUAUUCAAAUUAAUUUUCUAUAAUUUUAACACGUAAUAUAAGGAUUAUAUUAUUUGUUUAAUGAAACAAAAUUUCAACAGUUGAACUUAUAAGAUCUGGAUUCAGUCCGGGUAAGUUGAUUUUUUUUUUCUUUACUAACCAUUGUUUUCACUGUUUUUAGUUGAACAUUUAAACAAUAUUCCUAUAUUGCAGCUAAAAUAUUAUAAUUUAUAGCCAAUUUAAUAUUGAAAUUAAUAAUAUUAUGAACGUUGUAUAUUUUUGUUUUUUUUAGUGACGAAAGGAAUAAACAAUUACAUUUAUGGAUUUAAUGUAUACUUAGGUAUGUGUGUAAUUGACUAAAUAAUAGUAUUUUAAAAAUCAUAAUAAAUAUUUUCAAUUUUUAAAUGUAAAGGUUACUAUUAAAUUAAAAUAUUUGCAUGUGAAAUAAGUAAACAGUCUUAGGUAUUUAAAAAUAAAUCUAAUAUUACGUUUUUCCCGUCACUAAUUGAGGGCAGUAGCAGAUUUAAGGAUUUAAAUAAAGUUAGUAAAUCCAUAAGAGGUCUCGUACAAAAUAUAUCAGUAACAUAUUCACCUUCAAUUCUACAAUUCACAAAACUAUUCGAAAAUAUGCACUUGAAAUUCAUAAAAUAUACUAAUUUUUAAAAAAUAUGUAAAAAAUAACGAAUAAUGCCAGAAUUUUAAAAAUGUAAGAACAAUUUAGAAAUGUAAGGGUACCUUUACUUUUUGUUUGAAAUGGAUGUCUAGAAAAAGCUGUAUAUAUAAGAGACUAUACCUAUACAAGUAUUCAGUGGAAUUUCUGACCUUUACGAUUAUUAUUCGUUGAAUAAACAAAAUAAAAUGAAACAGGCGCAGUAAAUAUAACAGUUACAAGUUUUCCCGACGUUUUUCCUAGGAGUUUCUUCAUAAUUAAGAAUACUAUAAAGAAAAUAUAAAAUUAACUCCUUAUUGCACCAAUAAAGCAAUAAUUUUUACUAGAACCCAUCGCCUAUAAAGUUGAUAACUGGAGCAAAACUUCUGGUAGAAAAGCUGUUCAUAUACAGAAAAUGAACAAAAAAAUCAUCAUAAUAAAAUUAUAGUAAUAACCAUUAUGUUAGAAUCUAAAAUAAAUAAUAUUUACUGAAUUAUAUUUGAAAAUUGGUGUGGGAGGUGUGGAAGGCUAAGCUCCGAAACCCCUCCGGCUAAACGGCCCUUAAAUACACCACUAGUUGAUAUAUAAAUAUAAUAUACGAAUUAUAUACUAUAUGCAAUAUUUAAACCCGUUCCCAAAUACCCGUAAAAAAUUAAUUAGUUUUAACUUAAUAUAAUAUGUAUGCUUGUCUACGGUAUUGAAAUUUUUAAAUACAAUAAAAGGUAAAAUGAAGGCAUGAUAUAAAAUGCAAUAUUUUAUAAUAAUAUAUUUUUAAUUUUAUAGAAGCUAAGCGAUUAUUGACAAGUAAAUAGUUUAUACAAAUAUUUUUCUUUUUUUUUUCAUAAUUAAAACAAGAUUAUUUAAAAGAAUACAAAUGUAUAUUAGACAAGGUAUAAUACAGUUUAACUUCAUUAUCAUGUUCUUACGUUUGCUAAAAAGAGCGUACCUUCGGAAAUGCAGCGCUGGCGAUAUAUUGAUAUCGCCGCCUGCAACAAUGUCACCUCUAACGUACAGAUGACCACUCUGCCAAUCACCUGAACAUAGAAAGCUUAACCAUUUAAGUCAGGUACCAGAUAGCUUGGUGGUGGCGCAAUCACCCGAGAAGCGAGAGAUUUGAAUUCGAUUCCCGGUCCGUUCGCUUAAUUUUUAGCACUGUUCCCUGGACGAAAACAAUGUAUUGUCAUCAAAACGAUGAAACAUGUAGUAAAAUCAACGAAUUUUUAAGCGGUGAUGCAGCGUAAAUUCAACAAAUUUAAAAACUACAGGAUCUAUAGGGGUUUAUAAACAUCUCAAAUUAAUAAUAGUUGUAUAUUGCGUGUUAUCCAAAUUCGAUUUUGGUGACGGAACUUUGCUUCUCACGGGUAUUUUUUUAAAUUAAUUUCAUAUAUGUGUUUUAUUGAUUUAUAUAAUUCCCUAGUUUGUUUACCUUUAUUUUUUAUUUAGGUAAUAGAUUAAAAUCUUAAGAUUAAUAAAUAAAACUUGUAAAAAUGCUUUUUCAGUCUCUACACAUAGUAAUUAAAACCAUAUGAUAAUAUGUUGACUUAUAAUAUUUAUAUUUGUUUAGACAAUUCAUUUAUGUACUUAGAAUACCUCAAACUCGAAGUAAAAUCAGGUAUAUAUUAUUAAUUAUGGAAGCUAUACACUUAAACUAUAUUAGAAUAGUCAUUACCCAAUAAAUAAAUAAUAAAUAUGCAGACAUUGAUUAAACCUUUUAAAAGAAAUAUCAAAUAUUUAUUUAAGCUUUUAAUACUCAUUACUUUUGUAACUACUGUUAUGAAAUCAAUUAAAUUAUAAUAAUUGAACAAAUUCAAAGAGAGUGAAACCAAAAAUACAUAAAUAUAUGGUAGUAUUAUGGUAUGCUAAGGUUUUUGGUGUUUACUAGAAUCAGUUAAAAUUAUGAUCAUUAUGAAAUUACAACAAUACAGGAAAACAAAUGGUAUUCAGUAUUAAUCACAAAAUUAAAAACACACAUAUCAUAGUAAAACCAAGAAUUAAGUUCCGUAUCUAAAACGUUUGUAACGUUAUAAAUAUAGCUAUGUUUUAAAUACCAAGAACGCCUGCUCGACUACGUUGUCAGCAUUGUAUGUAUGAGCGUUAUUAUCAGCACGUGUAAAGCUCUAAACCUGCAAGGGCCAAUAAUUUUUAGUCCAGUCCGGUCAAACUACUUUUUUUUAAGCCCGGUUCCGAUCUUGUCUAAAAUAUUUUGUGAAAAAAAAGCUCAGACCUGGCCCUAAAAUUAGCGAACGGUCAACAAGGGUCACCCCCACCGUCCAUCGACAACAGUUGGUGAAGGUCAUGGAAAUUUGCGUUUUACCUUAAAACAAUAUAACGGUCUGAACUGACGGUAUCCCGGCCAAUGAAAUCUUUUCCCUUAUCGCUUCGUUUCAGCGGUCAGCCGUUGGCUGCAGCUGUGACGACGAUUCUGUUUACAUUUCUUCAUUCCGAGAUCAUCAAGCACACACCAUGAGCAGAUAGCCGAUUUUCGCAAGUCCCAUUGACGAGUAGAGAGGACCACACGGUGUUUCGUCGUAGCCAGUGGGGGUGUCAGUGGCGUAAUUUGGGGAUCGUGAAAGGUCACAGUUGCAUUCCUAAAUAUAAUACUGAGAUCACAAAAGUAUUGAUUAGCAACACCUGAUAUGUCUACGUUUAUCGACUUGUCUUAAUAAAAAACAUUAAAAUUGAUGUCAUUAUUUAAUUAUUGAAUUGCGAAGAAAACAUGUUCGAAAAUAACAAAAUUUAAAUUGUAUAUUAUCAAUAUUCCACCGAUGAAAAAACAAUUGAAUACAAUGUAUGAUUCACUAUCAUAAAUUAAAUUAAAAUAAAUGUAUUUUUAGAUUCAAACUUUUCUGUCAUCGAAUUUUUACUUCUAUAUUAUUUGAUUAUAUUUUUUGAAGUAAAUUAUGGAAUAUUUUAAUAUUCAGCAUUAAAAAAAAAAUAAUAUAUCUAAACAAAAAUUGAAAUAACAAAUCAAUUUAUAAGUUAUUACUAUAAAUUCAUUAAACUAUAGGACAGUUAAACCGUUCAAAUUUGAAAAUUCUGAAUUUUGUAUUCUAAUUUUAAAAGAUUAUAUUAUAACUCAUAAUUUUUAUUAAUAUGUAACUAUACAAGAAGAAGAAUUAUAUAGAUUUAUAAUGUAUUUUAUAUUAAUACUAUACCCUACAGCUCUUUGCAACCUUUAGUAUUUUUGCAACCCCUGACAUAAUGCCGAAAUUAGGCCACUUAAUAUAUCACUAAUUUUACCUAGGCGAGUAUCCGGUUAUUCAAGAUUUAUUUAUUUGUAUUUUUCUUUCUCUCUCUCCCUGUAAAGAUAGGAAAUAUAUUGAAUUGAUCCGUUUACUAUGUUAUGUUACCCAAUUAGGUAAUUGUAAUUGUCUAAAUCGCAUCUACACUUCCAUGUUCCAAAUAACUUUGUUUUUUUUUUAAAACAUAUUUUCUUUCUCAUUAAUGCGUGCUAAUUUCUCACACAAUGAAUUGGUUUUAGGAAUGUAUUAAGACCCCGUGCCAGGAUAACUUUAUUCGCAAUUAAGCAUACGGUGGACACGUGGUCCGCCCAUUAGUCAUCUCGUCAGAUUCUCAUGCAGGUCCAAUUUAGAUACAGGUACAGAUGAAAUAGUGGAACACCAACAUUAUGGCCCUCCUCUCCAAAUCUGUUGUAAUAUAUAAAAUUGGUAAUUGUAUGUUCUUGACGAGCCUCUAGUAAUCUAGUAUAUAAAACAAUAACGUACUCGAGAGUUCCACCUGUAGUCACACAUCGAUAUUAUUUUGUUUCUUUUUUUUUCUCCCACGUUAGUUCCCCGGUAGGUACGCUACAACAUUUAUAUCGGAAGUAUAUUCGAAAACUUCAACUUGAGUUUGAUGCAAAUCAUGUUUCUAUGUAUAAACCUAUGUAAAUUUAUGUAAUGUAAAAAUCUUAUAUUUAUAUCUGUAUAUAUAUAUAUAUAUGUCUAUGUAUGUAGCUCUGUCCCCACCGAAUAGGUACUUUAUUUUACAGUUUGUCUUCCUUACAAAGAACACCGCUUCGGUGAUUGGAAAUCCCCUAUGAGUCCAAAUAAGAUGUACUCCCCGAUAUGUAACUAGUGAGUAAUGACCAAUGUGGGAUUGUUUUUUUCUUUUUGUGUGAGGUUUCUAGUGGACUUUACCCUUUUGUUUAACGUAACUAAUGUUUUUCCAUUCAUAUGUUAAUCUAAAUUUAAUAAUAAUAAUAAUGAGUUCAUUUCGCUGUAAAUUUGGUAUUUUUCUUUUAACCCCUAAGUUAAUGUGUGAUAUACUUAUGGUCCCCUUUGACUUUGAAGACUAUACUUACCGUAAUGGUUUUUAUGAAGUUCAUAAUAAAUGAGAAAUUUAUAAUAAAUGAUUAGACCUUUGAUAACAGUUACAAGAUUUGCACUUUUAUUCGAUAUUUUAAUAAUUUAAUACAUUACUAUAAAAAUUAAAAUUUCAGUUCCAGUGAAAAAUUCAAGAGAAUGGUGUUUAGCAGGUUUGU